CUGCAUGGAAUGUCCGGCGCGUGGCCCCCCAGAUGUUACAAAACUACAACUCUCAUCAUUCCCUGAUAGCUGUAGUAUGCCCAGGCAAGAUGGGAGUUGUAGUUUUGCAACAGCUGGAGGGCCACGAGUUUGACAUCCCUGCUUUGGCGGGGGCACAG